AGUACUUGGCAGCAGUUGCAGCGUGUGGCUGGAAUCGCUACCCACAUCGCGCGGGGCUAUGCAGGAAAAGGAAAACGAGGGAAUCUAUUCGGAGAACUCUCACCCAGGCUUCUGCUCAAAGUUCUGCCAGAUGUGUGCAGGGCUUUGUGAGUAAAUGAGCCAUGGAUUGGUCUGAAUCACAGAGAAGUUGGAGAAGUUGGGUUCGCGUUGUCUAUACAUUUUUGACCUUUGUUAUUUGUCAAAAUAAAUUGUUGAAAUUAAACAAAUUAUUCUUGAGUGGUGGUGCUUCCGAUGGUGCUGGUGGGAGCAUGAGUGGACAGACAAUAGGAUUCUCCACCUACCAUGUGAC